GGGCUUGUGGUUUAGUGGUAUAAUACUCCCUUAGCAUGAUGAUGAUGAUGGCGACGAUCCACCUCACGAUGGUUGGUUGAAGUUGUCUGUCUGUCUAACUUGGGAGUGGUCCGGGGUUCGAUUCCCCGCGAGUCCA